rnacentral:lncRNA from 12 species
CCUGCACGGACCCUGCUCACAUGGUGUCCUGAGCCCUGCGGUGCCCGUCAACACCCAACGGGGAGAGAAGCCUCAGGUCCCGCCGGGGCCUCGCUCUCAGCCCACUGCCCCAGCCAGGGCGGGGGACGGAGAGGAUCUGCAGCAGGAAAUCCGCCCGAGGUGUAGGUCUGUCUAUGCUCUACCUUCUGCUAGACCCUCCAGGCCCCGCGUGUUUAAUGACCGGGGUCCCCCCUCGUGCUCCGGGCUCUGCGGUCCUCAGGAGCCGGAGCACGCAGCCGCCCGGCCGGAGGCAUCUGCAAACCCCGACACCGUCGACAAGGGCCGGCCUCAAGUACCCAACGCUCUCUCCGCUUCAGGACCCGAACUCGUGUUCAAUAACCACCCCCCGUCUGGGACGCCAUCCCCUCCCCAGCGCGCCCACGGGUCUCGCUGUCUGUAGUGUGUGCACGGCUCUGGCAUUUUUCACGUUUAUUUUGUUCCUCGAUGCCUGAGUGUUCAUCUUUCGCAGGAUCGAUGUCUGGUUCCCCCCAUAGCCGUCAUCACCAGCUCAGGGCCGUGACCUCUGGGACAGUGACUGAAUGAUGGCUGAUGUGGUGUCUGCUCCAGGCCCUGCUGGCCGCUUGGGGGUGGGGGGACUCUCCUGCUUGCCCUCCUGGCCACACGCAGGGACUCAGGGGACCCCGCCUCCAGCUCAGCCGUGGGCACAGAGGACUCAGGACCUGCCCCAGGCCACACGACCCGGCCAGUUCGUUUCCAGCGUCUGCACUAACUGAAAAGAUACAAGCCGGACCGAACCAUGGCAAACAGGUCGGGAGGCUUGGGUGUACAGAGCAGGAGGACAGAGUCGGACCUCUUUUCCUUCUAGUGAUCGAAUCUCAGAAGUACGGGGCAAGAGGGAUCAUGUGGUCCAGAAGGAUUCUAGAAACAAGCAGAGGUCUUGUGUGUGGGGAUGAGGCUCUGCACCACACUUGGCCUCAUGCAGAUCAGGUUGUGAGCAGGAUGGUGGACUUCACCUGUCACCUGGACUCGGGGAACUCCCCAGCCUCUGCACCAGUCGGGUCACCGAACGGGGCCUGAGCCCUUUGAAGGACCUGUGUCCUGACCCCGGUGAUCUCCCUGCUGCGAUGUCGCAUGGCGCCCUGAC